GGACGCUAAGACAGGUGGUGCAUGGCUGUCGUCAGCUCGUGUCGUGAGAUGUUGGGUUAAGUCCCGCAACGAGCGCAACCCUUGUUAUUAGUUGCCAGCAUUAAGUUGGGCACUCUAAUGAAACUGCCGGUGAUAAACCGGAGGAAGGUGGGGAUGACGUCAAGUCAUCAUGCCCCUUAUGAUUUGGGCUACACACGUGCUACAAUGGACAGGUUACAAAGGGCAGCAACGCCGCGAGGUCAAGCGAAUCCCAUAAAACUGUUCUCAGUUCGGAUUGGAGUCUGCAACUCGACUCCAUGAAGCUGGAAUCGCUAGUAAUCGUAGAUCAGCAUGCUACGGUGAAUACGUUCCGGGUCUUGUACGUCGACGCGGCCGAAGGUUAAGGAAGGUUGGUUAAGGGUAACCGAGCUAGCGACUGAACGCCCGGUGAACGGCGCCGUAACUAUAACGGUCCUAAGGUAGCGUAAACUUCCGUUGUCGGGUAAGUCCGACCGCGACGGAAAGCGUAACGNUCGUGGGAGUCGUGUCGUCGGAAGAGACGACGUCGGACGAAAUUAAG
rnacentral:rRNA from 1 species